GAGUUUGAUCGUGGCUCAGAGCGAACGCUGGCGGCGUGCCUAAUACAUGCAAGUCGAACGAGAAAGUGGCUUCGGCCAUGAGUAAAGUGGCAGACGGGUGAGUAAUACUUAGGUAACUUGCCCCUGAAGAUGGGGACAACCUUCCGAAAGGAGGGCUAAUACCGAAUGAGACCACAGAGCCUGCGGGUUCAGGGGUUAAAGAUGGCCUCUAUUUAUAAGCUAUCACUUACAGGAUAGGCCUAAGCACCAUUAGCUAGUUGGUAGGGUAAUGGCCUACCAAGGCUGUGAUGGUUAGCUGAUCUGAGAGGUUGAUCAG
rnacentral:rRNA from 1 species